rnacentral:rRNA from 1 species
GAUUCUGGCUCAGGAUGAACGCUGGCGGCGUGCUUAACACAUGCAAGUCGAACGGAGUUUUAACGGAAGUUUCGGAUGGAAGUUAGAACUAGUGGCGGACGGGUGAGUAACGCGUGGGUAACCUGCCUCAUACAGGGGGAUAACAGUUAGAAAUGACUGCUAACACCGCAUAAUAUAGCGAAACCGCAUGAUUUUGCUAUCAAAUAUUUAUAGGUAUGAGAUGGGCCCGCGUCUGAUUAGCUAGUUGGUGGGGUAAAGGCCUACCAAGGCGACGAUCAGUAGCCGGCUUGAGAGAGUGACCGGCCACAUUGGGACUGAGACACGGCCCAAACUCCUACGGGAGGCAGCAGUGGGGAAUAUUGGACAAUGGGGGAAACCCUGAUCCAGCGAACCGCCGCGUGAGUGAAGAAGUAUUUCGGUAUGUAAAGCUCUAUCAGCAGGGAAGAUAAUGACAGUACCUGACUAAGAAGCCCCGGCUAACUACGUGCCAGCCGCUGC